AUUAUUUUUUAUUUAUUAAUUAAUUUUUUUUUUUUAUUAAAUUAUUAAAAGUAAUUAUUUAGUGAUUUGUUUAAGUAUUUUAUAAAGAAAAAAUAAUUUUAAUUAUAGUUAAAUAGUAUUGUGAAAGAAAAUUGAAAUACAUUGAAAAAUUAAUAUUUAAAAAGAAAAUUUAAUUUAUUGUACCUUGUGUAUCAGGGUUUAUCUAAUAAAAAUUAUUGAUGUUAAUUUUCUCGAUUUUAAAAGAGUUAAUAUAUUAUAAGAGUUAAUGUGACAAAAUUAUUUUAUAUAAUAUAUUAGAAAUGAAAUGUUAUUCGUUUUUAAAGGUAUCUAGUUCUUUAAGAAAUAAAUUUAAUUUAGAAAUUUCAUAUUAUUUAAUUAAGUAUAUUAAUUAAAUAAUUGUUUUAUUUUAAUAUUUUAUGGGAUAAGCUAUGAAAUAAAUUAUUAAAAAUUAUUAAAUAAUUUAAUAAAUAUAAGCUUAGAAAUAGCUAUUAUUGGUGAAAGUGUUAUAAUUUAUUUUAUUUUGAUGAUUAUUUAUUAAAUUUUAAUUAUGUAUUAAAGUAUUUAUUUUAAUUAUAAAAAUGAAAAAAUAAUGAUAAAAUUAGUAUAUUAUAUUGUAUGAAUAAUAAUAAUUGAAAAGUUUUUAUAAAGAACUCGGCAAAAAUAAUGUUCGCCUGUUUAACAAAAACAUGUCUUUUUGAAUUUUUUUUUAAGUCUAGCCUGCCCACUGAAUUAUUUAAAUGGCCGCAGUAUACUAACUGUGCAAAGGUAGCAUAAUCAUUAGUCUUUUAAUUGAAGGCUGGUAUGAAUGGUUGGACGAGAUAUUAACUGUUUCAUAUAAAUUUAUAAUAGAAUUUUAUUUUUUAGUUAAAAAGCUAAAAUAAAAUUAAAAGACGAGAAGACCCUAUAAAUCUUUAUAUAUGAAUUAUUGGAAUUUUGUAGAUAGGUUUUAUUAUAAUAAUUAAUUAUAUUUUAUUGGGGUGAUAUUAAAAUUUAAUAAACUUUUAAUUUUUUUUUAACAUUAAUUUAUGAAUAAUUGAUCCAUUUAUAGUGAUUAAAAAAAUAAGUUACUUUAGGGAUAACAGCGUAAUUUUUUUGGAGAGUUCAUAUCGAUAAAAAAGAUUGCGACCUCGAUGUUGGAUUAAGAUAUAAUUUUAGGUGUAGUCGCUUAAAUUUUGAGUCUGUUCGACUUUUAAAUUCUUACAUGAUCUGAGUUCAAACCGGCGUAAGCCAGGUUGGUUUCUAUCUUUAAUAAAUAAAAAUAUUUCAGUACGAAAGGACCUAAUAUUUAAUAAAUAAUUAUUUUAAAAUUGAAUAUAAUUAAUGUACAC
rnacentral:rRNA from 1 species